UUGUCUUCAAGGCGGGGUGAAAUUCCCGACCGGCGGUAUAGCCCGCAACCCAUUUCGAUGGUUGAUCUGGUUAAAUUCCAGAGCCGACAGUAUAGUCUGGUAUGCAGAAGA
rnacentral:ncRNA from 1 species